rnacentral:rRNA from 2 species
GGCGGCGUGCCUAAUACAUGCAAGUCGAACGAACUCUGGUAUUGAUUGGUGCUUGCAUCAUGAUUUACAUUUGAGUGAGUGGCGAACUGGUGAGUAACACGUGGGAAACCUGCCCAGAAGCGGGGGAUAACACCUGGAAACAGAUGCUAAUACCGCAUAACAACUUGGACCGCAUGGUCCGAGUUUGAAAGAUGGCUUCGGCUAUCACUUUUGGAUGGUCCCGCGGCGUAUUAGCUAGAUGGUGGGGUAACGGCUCACCAUGGCAAUGAUACGUAGCCGACCUGAGAGGGUAAUCGGCCACAUUGGGACUGAGACACGGCCCAAACUCCUACGGGAGGCAGCAGUAGGGAAUCUUCCACAAUGGACGAAAGUCUGAUGGAGCAACGCCGCGUGAGUGAAGAAGGGUUUCGGCUCGUAAAACUCUGUUGUUAAAGAAGAACAUAUCUGAGAGUAACUGUUCAGGUAUUGACGGUAUUUAACCAGAAAGCCACGGCUAACUACGUGCCAGCAGCCGCGGUAAUACGUAGGUGGCAAGCGUUGUCCGGAUUUAUUGGGCGUAAAGCGAGCGCAGGCGGUUUUUAAGUCUGAUGUGAAAGCCUUCGGCUCAACGAAGAAGUGCAUCGGAAACUGGGAAACUUGAGUGCAGAA